rnacentral:rRNA from 1 species
AUUGAACGCUGGCGGCAUGCCUUACACAUGCAAGUCGAACGGCAGCACGGGAGCAAUCCUGGUGGCGAGUGGCGAACGGGUGAGUAAUAUAUCGGAACGUGCCCAGUCGUGGGGGAUAACGUAGCGAAAGCUACGCUAAUACCGCAUACGAUCUACGGAUGAAAGCGGGGGAUCGCAAGACCUCGCGCGAUUGGAGCGGCCGAUAUCAGAUUAGCUAGUUGGUGGGGUAAAAGCUCACCAAGGCGACGAUCUGUAGCUGGUCUGAGAGGACGACCAGCCACACUGGAACUGAGACACGGUCCAGACUCCUACGGGAGGCAGCAGUGGGGAAUUUUGGACAAUGGGCGCAAGUCUGAUCCAGCAAUGCCGCGUGCAGGAUGAAGGCCUCGGUUGUAACUAGCUUUGUUACGGUACGAAACGGUAGAGACGUCUAAUAAAGACUUAGUCUAAUAGUACGGUACCGUAACGAAUAAAGACAACCGGCCUAACGUAACGUAGACCG